AUUGAACGCUAGCGGGAUGCCUUACACAUGCAAGUCGAACGGAGUGGCGAACGGGUGAGUAAUGUAUCGGAACGUGCCCAGCAGCGGGGGAUAACUACGCGCCAGCGUAGCUAAUCACGCAUACUAUUUGAGCGGCCGAUAUCGGAUUAGCUAGUUGGUGGGGUAACGGCUUACCAAGGCGACGAUCCGUAGCUGGUUUGAGAGGGCGACCAGCCACACUGGGACUGAGACACGGCCCAGACUCCUACGGGAGGCAGCAGUGGGGAAUUUUGGACAAUGGGGGAAAGCCUGAUCCAGCCAUGCCGCGUGUGGGAUGAAGGCCUUCGGGUUGUAAAGCACUUUUGGCAGGGAAGCGGUACCUACAGAAUAAGCACCGGCUAACUACGUGCCAGCAGCCGCGGUAAUUC
rnacentral:rRNA from 1 species